rnacentral:rRNA from 1 species
GGCAGACGGGUGAGUAACGCGUGGGAACGUACCCUUUGGUUCGGAAUAGCCCUUGGAAACGAGGAGUAAUACCGAAUGAGCCCUACGGGGGAAAGAUUUAUCGCCGAGGGAUCGGCCCGCGUUAGAUUAGCUAGUUGGUGAGGUAAUGGCUCACCAAGGCGACUAUCUAUAGCUGGUUUGAGAGGAUGAUCACCCACACUGGGACUGAGACACGGCCCAGACUCCUACGGGAGGCAGCAGUGGGGAAUCUUGGACAAUGGGGGAAACCCUGAUCCAGCCAUGCCGCGUGAAUGAUGAAGGCCUUAGGGUUGUAAAAUUCUUUCAGUGGGGAAGAUAAUGACGGUACCCACAGAAGAAGCCCCGGCUAACUCCGUGCCAGCAGCCGCGGUAAUACGGAGGGGGCUAGCGUUGUUCGGAAUUACUGGGCGUAAAGCGCGCGGAGGCGGACUAUCCUGUCAGAGGUGAAAGCCCAGGGCUCAACCCUGGAACUGCCUUUGAUACUGUUAGUCUGGAGUCCGGGAGAGGUGUGUGGA